CACGCCACCAUAUGUCUCCAUGCAUAAAGUGUUAUUGCAUGAAAUGUUUUGUACCAUUCUAAUAUUGGUUGACCCCUCUCUGGGUUCAUAAGAUAAGGAUAAAGUUUGAUUCAAAAUUUAAUUCAAAUUUGAUUUGAAUUGAUGAUAAGGAUCAACCAACACUUAAAUUUGAACCGAAACUACCUUAUUCUUAUCCUUAUCUUCCAUGGGACGCCAACC
rnacentral:lncRNA from 1 species